rnacentral:misc_RNA from 1 species
GAUGAAGAACGCAGUGAAAUGCGAUAAGUAAUGUGAAUUGCAGAAUUCAGUGAAUCAUCGAAUCUUUGAACGCACCUUGCGCCCUUUGGCCAUUCCGAAGGGCAUGCCUGUUUGAGUAUCAUGAACACCUCAACUCUUUAUGGUUUUCCAUGAUGAGCUUGGACUCUGGGGGUUUUGCUGGCUCACAGUCGGCUCCUCUAAAAUGAAUCAGCUUACCAGUGUUUGGUGGGUAUCAUGGGUGUGAUAACUAUCUACGCUUGUGGUUUUUCCACCAGGUAACCUUCAGCAGUGGAGGUUCGCUGGAGCUCAUAGAUGUCUCUCCUCAGUGAGGACAGCCCUUUGAAUGUUUGAUCUCAAAUCAGGUAGGACUACCCGCUGAACUUAAGCAUACAAUAAGCGGAGGA